AACGCAUCUUGCGCUCCUUGGUAUUCCGAGGAGCAUGCCUGUUUGAGUGUCGUGAAAUAACAUCGAUCCCAGCCUCUUGCGAGGCGAAGGGUCGGAUUUGGAUGUUGCAGUCCUUUACAAGGUCUGCUCGUCUUGAAAUGCAUUAGCGUUCCGUCGCGAGAUCGGUCACAACGGUGUGAUAAGUCUACUUCUGGCGCCGUUCCGCGUCUCGCGUGUAAGGAUGCUUCUAAUCGUCUUAGGACAAUUUCAUGUCGUCUGACCUCAAAUCAGGUAGGACUACCCGCUGAACUUAA
rnacentral:misc_RNA from 1 species